GAUUCAAACACUCAGCCGCUACCCCUUUUUUCCCCUCAGCACCAUAAUCCUCACCAUCAUCCUUACACACACAAAAAUGCACCCACACUCACGGAGAAGAGAGAGAGCAGAGAAGAAAAAGACGGAGACGCCGCCGAUGAGUGUCACUGCUACCGCUGCCGUCGACACUGCUGCAGAAAGGAGAAGAUGAGGACGACGUGACAAGGGGAGAGAGUAAGAGAGAGAUAGACAGAGAGAGAGAGAGAACGUGUCGUCGCGUCUCGUUGCCGCCAGUGCCAUCAAGCCUUGUCACCAUGUACAUUACCGCCCCCUGGAGUCGUGGAGUUUGUUGCCAUUGUUGAGAGAGAGGAGAGAGCUCGAGAGAGGGAGGCAGAACGCGAGGAAGCCGCCAUUGUCACCGUCGUUAGAAGCUGCCACCAUCACUAUUGUGGGUGUAGGGGACCGUCGCCUUCAUGGUGGGGUUAGACCCGUCACUGAACUAGGCUGAGGGAAAAGAAGACGCAAUGGAAGGGGAGCCGUUCACCACCGCCGUCGCUGCAGCUACGUUACCGCACCUCUGUCGCAGAAAAAUGACAUUGUCCUCGUCGAGAAACGCUAUUGGAGUCAGCCAUUGGAGCCGCAAUUACUCUGAUCUUUGUUUCUUCUUGGUACAUUGCUGUUGUUGUUGUGGAAGCGUAGUAGAGCUGUGGUUGCGGCUGCCGCUGUUGCAGGCUAGCAGAAAGAGGAUUUUGUCACAUACCCGAGUCGCAAUCGAGGGAGGCUGAGUUUGGACAUACAGUAGAGUUAAGAGAUUUCAUCUUCGACAAUAUCUUACUCUCUGUAUUUAUAGAGUGUUGGAGACCAAAGACCCAUACUUUCCACCUUUCGUAGGGUGAGGUCACCAUUACAUUCCAGGAUGUGGCAUAUCAUAUUGGAUUGCGCACAAAUGAUGACUCGAUAGGCGACUGCACUAGAGAUUUUCAGCAAUUUCAUAGACACCCCACAUGGUAGUGGGUUGUAAAUUUGCUCAAUGAUAAGCCAACACCCCAGUCCGAGGGCUAAUGAGGCUACUCUCCUCCAGUAUACCAGAUGUUACUUACUUAUGUUGACCGGGAGAUACUUGUUUACAGACAAGUCAACCAACCUUGUCCCUCUCAGACAGCUACCGCUUCUGGAGGACUUUGAUAGUUGCAUACAGUUGUCAUGGGGUUCUGAAAUGCUGUCUCACACCUAUUAUUCAUUGUGCAGCGCUGCCUGACAGGAUAUGAUGGAUAUUAUCGAGUACAUACCGUUAGUUAUGUCGUGGAUCUACCACAGGUUCCCGACUUUCUGUCUUGUCGGAUACGACAUUCUCAGACUUUCUCUUGCUUGGAGGUUGGUAGGACAACCAUUAUGACAGAGGCCUUAGAUUGCGGCGCAGGAUGGAUGCCUUGAGUUUUGGUGGACACUGUACAAUGAUCCCUAACUACUACAGAUGACACCCGACAAGAUUGGUCUACCAUGUACAUCAAACAUUAUACUGAUGUGCUUAUCUUCUUCAACCCAAAACGUCCUAUUUUUUUAAAACCUCCACUAGACAGCGCUGAUAUGAAUCUAUAUGCUACUCGGCUAACCUCCUUCGAGCCGAUUAAUUGCUCCCAUAUUGAUCUAGAUAACAUUCUUAAGCACAUCUAGAGAAUCAACACAGAAGUGUGCAGUAUCAUAAUUAAAUUGCACUCAAAUAUUACUCCCUCAUCACUAUUUUUCAUGAUUCCAUUAGGAUAAACUACUAAAAAAAAACUGAUUACUAGCCAUUUUUUUUGAAAAAGAAAGAAAGAAAGAAUAGAUAGCAUAAAGAUGAAUGUAGAAUAGAUUGCACACGAAGUUGCAUAUAUAGAUAUUUUCGUAUCUAGAGUUCAGAGAUCCCUAUUUAUUUAAGCACGUACCCCGAGGACAGUGCCACCAUACUUAUUAUGGAUGUAUCUCGAGUACAGUGCCAUAAAAUUUCUUAAGGCUCUAUCCGAAUGCAAUGCACCCGACUUGUGCACGUAUUUUAAUAUUGCUUGUAUCCUAGGUAUA